rnacentral:rRNA from 1 species
GGAAUAUUGGUCAAUGGGCGAGAGCCUGAACCAGCCAAGUAGCGUGCAGGAUGACGGCCCUAUGGGUUGUAAACUGCUUUUAUACGGGGAUAAAGUGAGGGACGUGUCCCUUAUUGUAGGUACCGUAUGAAUAAGGACCGGCUAAUUCCGUGCCAGCAGCCGCGGUAAUACGGAAGGUCCGGGCGUUAUCCGGAUUUAUUGGGUUUAAAGGGAGCGCAGGCGGGAGCUUAAGCGUGACGUGAAAUGUAGCCGCUCAACGGCUGAGUUGCGUCGCGAACUGGGUUUCUUGAGUGAGUACGACGCGGACGGAAUUCGUGGUGUAGCGGUGAAAUGCUUAGAUAUCACGAAGAACUCCGAUUGCGAAGGCAGCCAACAAGGCCUUUACUGACGCUAAAGCUCGAAGGUGCGGGUAUCGAACA